UGUGAUGCCCUUAGAUGUUCUGGGCUGCACGCGCGCUACACUGAAGGAAUCAGCGUGUCUCCCACCUGGUCCGAAAGGACCGGGUAACCCCCUGAAACUCCUUCGUGCUUGGGAUUGGGACUUGCAACUAUUUCCCAUGAACGAGGAAUUCCCAGUAAGUGCGGGUCAUAAGCUCGCGUUGAUUACGUCCCUGCCCUUUGUACACACCGCCCGUCGCUACUACCGACUGGCCGAUUUUGUGAAUUGUNCAGGACCUGCGGUCAGCGCUGCUCNACGUGGUGCGUNCCGCGGGGANUCUCUAGUAAACUAUGNAUUGGUUGGAGGAAGUAAAA
rnacentral:rRNA from 1 species